rnacentral:rRNA from 1 species
UACGUAGGGUGCAAGCGUUGUCCGGAAUUAUUGGGCGUAAAGAGCUCGUAGGCGGUCUGUCACGUCGGCUGUGAAAUCCCGAGGCUCAACCUCGGGUCUGCAGUCGAUACGGGCAAACUAGAGUAUUGCAGGGGAGACUGGAAUUCCUGGUGUAGCGGUGAAAUGCGCAGAUAUCAGGAGGAACGCCGGUGGCGAAGGCGGGUCUCUGGGCAAUAACUGACGCUGAGGAGCGGAAGCGUGGGGAGCGAACAGG